rnacentral:misc_RNA from 1 species
UUGAUUCAUUUCCUCCCGCUCUCGCGGGAAAAAGGCCACCACUCAGAAGAAAACGAUGCUGGAGAUGCAAGAGAGUUUGGGGGUUCCUGCGGCGGGCGCCGUGGUGUCCGGGCGCCCAGUAGAGGGCGCGCCGGGGCGAGUCCCGCCGAGGCAACGUUGCGGUAGAGGUUCACACUGGGGUUUGGGAGUUUAUAAACUCGGUAAUGAUCCCUCCGCUGGUUCACCAACGGAAA